CCUACGGGAGGCAGCAGUGAGGAAUAUUGGUCAAUGGGCGGGAGCCUGAACCAGCCAAGCCGCGUGAAGGAAGAAGGCGCCAGGCGUCGUAAACUUCUUUUGUCGGGGAACAAAGGGCGCCACGCGUGGCGUUGUGAGUGUACCCGAAGAAAAAGCAUCGGCUAACUCCGUGCCAGCAGCCGCGGUAAUACGGAGGAUGCGAGCGUUAUCCGGAUUUAUUGGGUUUAAAGGGUGCGUAGGCGGGCCUUCAGGCCGGCGGUAAAAUUGCGGGGCUCAACCCCGCCGAGCCGUCGGAACCGGGGGCCUUGAGUACCGGAGAAGUACGCGGAAUGCGUGGUGUAGCGGUGAAAUGCAUAGAUAUCACGCAGAACCCCGAUUGCGAAGGCAGCGUACCGGCCGGUCACUGACGCUGAGGCACGAAAGCGCGGGUAUCGAACAGGAUUAGAUACCCUUGUAGUC
rnacentral:rRNA from 1 species